CAGGGUGUGUGACCAGAGGGGCAAGCACUCUGUUCACCCUGCGGGUCACCUAGUCACCAACCCUC
rnacentral:pre_miRNA from 12 species